UCUAGAGCCAAAACAAAAACAAAACCAAAAACCCGCAAGAGUUGCAAGUGCUGUCAUUAGCGGUAGCCUAAUGCCGCAGAAAGUCUCGGGAAGGCUGCAGGCGCCGAGGAUAUGUGACAGACUGGAGAAGGUAGCGCCGGGCACUUUCCCAAGCUACGGCACCAGUCACACGAAGCCUUGUCAAGCCUCUCAUUUGCCGAACGAAGACGAUGGGUGAUGUCCGACUGGCAACCCCAGUGAAGUGUGUGGUGCUUUUCCAAACCAUGAUCGAAUGACCUGGUCAAUGUGAAUUUGCAGAAAUUUGGAUAUCCCGUAUCCCAUCUAGUCUGACCACCAAAUUGUGUGUAAAAAGCAUAUUUCCGUAGGAAAAUGGCCCUCAAUAACUUUGCUGAUAUCUUAGAGAAUGAUAGAAAUCGAAUAAGAACUGGCUUGAGCUUGGAAACAUGUAAGCCCCCGGAGAGCUUGCCCUCGAUGCCCCGAGCAGCACCCAGGCUUUUCUGGCCCCGCGGGCCCUCCCUACGCACCCCACCGGCUCACCUGCGUGAUUGGCAAUGACGGUGAGUUUAGACUCGAACCCAAGCAUCACAAAUUGGGCAUCGCAGAUAAAAGGAAAUGGGAAGCGGAGAUGUUUUUCUGUGACAGAGGCUAGUGUCGCCUUAUGCUGAACUGUGGAAAUCUCUGCGUGACUGGACUCCAAAAGCCCGGGGGGGAGCAUCCAGACAUGGGUGAAUAUUUUAGAGCCUUGUACUAAAAAGCAACAUGAUUUUACAAUUCUUCAGGGAAGCAAAACAUAUUAAAACUCCUGCACAUUGCAUUUUCAGUUCUAAUUAAGUAAGCUACAAUGGGCUAGUUUCUUAUCCAUGGAAUUAUGAGCUGUCCUAGGUUAGAUGGAAAGCGACUGGAGAGUCUGCUUCAAAGAGCCUUAACAGUGCUAGGCCGUUUAUUAGGUACCUUUAGGUCCCGAGGUAGGAAAUUCUGACGCAGCUUCAAUCAACUUUCGACAGACAGCUUAACCCAGACGUCUCUUCAUUAUUUUCUCAUUAAAUUCUCCUAACAACGCCAUGUGGUAGGCAUUAAUAUUCUCAUUUUUCAAGAAGAAAAACCGAGGUGGGACAUCUCCAAGGUCUUACGGCUAGUGAGUGGCCAUGUGGAGGUCUGAACAUACAACUGUCUGGUGUCCCUAUGCUGACAGCUGAAGAGCGGACUGCAAGUAGGCCCAGAGCUCCCUCCCAGCCUGUGCCUUCCUUCUUGAUAAAAAUCCUCAGAGCUGAGGUAUGGGCCACAUUCAAACACAUGGGUGCUGGUGUCCGUGUUCCCGUAAUGACUAUAAGAGAAACAUCCUUAGUAUGAUUGAGAAAGUGAUAUCCUCAUUUUAUGUAGCGUGUUUCUUGUUGAUCAGACCUCAGAGACAAAUCUUUGCAGCCCCACAAAAACAGGGCCCAGCCCUGUGGUAAAGAAUCACAUUUUAUCCAGAGUCAAAGAACAAGUAACAGAAGAAACCCCAUCACACCUCCUUGACCUUUAUGGGCUGACUUGACCAUACACUGGAAAAGCAGGAGCUGAAAAACUCAACCCAAACAAUACAAAACAAAAACAGCAAAUUACCCGCUGUCCUCUGUGUCUGUAGACCACUGUGGAGAUGUGGAUUGUCGUGUUCUCUCCUUGUUGAAUGCAGAGGUAGUUAUGAAGGCAGGGACUAGAAAAGAGAGAAUGGCAUUGCACACGUGCAGCCUAAAGCCCUCAGAAUGACCUUUCCCAAACUUGGCGUCUGUCCUAUCGAGAGCCCCCCAUCCCUAAGUACAAAGGUCCAUGGCACACCACCAAGGACUGAGACGAGGCCAAGGUACAGUGUCCCCAGAACCCAGCUCAAAGACUGUGUGGACACAGACGGGCAGCUACAGGCAGGCUUGUCCGCGGUAACAAGUGACACUGUGUGAAAAGGGGGCCAGGGUUAAAAAAAAUACAAGAGGAAGCCAUAAAAGAUGCAGAGGAAACCAAGGGGGGAAAGGGAGAGAAGGUUUUUUUUUUUUUUAAAUGAAAGGAAGAAAAAUAGAAGAGAAAAGGGAAAGAUAGGAAGAACAAAGUAAGGGAAGAGGAGGAAGAAGACAAAAGAGAGAGAAAGGGGGAUGUAAGGAGAAAAAGAGACAACCAGAGAGAGAGGAAAUGUGAAAAGGAGAAAAUGGAAGUAGCAGAGGAAGGAAAUGUAAGUGCCCCCCCGGGUCUCUGCAACAGCAGCCUGGAAGCCUCGCACCUGCCCCAUGGUCUCAGAGUGACUGCCUAGUGCCGGCCAGCACAUCGUCCUCCCCGUGCCAACCCUCAGCCUCGGAGAAGGAAAGUCAGUUUGUCCCUCUCCUCCUUCCUGUCCCCAACCCCAACCCAACUCACUGCUCUAGACAGGAGAGAAGAAAGGGAGCCAGGAAUCCUCGCCUCCCACCUCUGCUCUCUUCUUUCACUGAUUUUGUUUGUGCGUCUCCUUCCUAUUUGCUGCUAAGUGUGGGGAGGCAUCUGUUCCUAUGUACAGUAUAGCACCUGGAGAUAACCUCCCGAUGCCGCUCUGCUGUCACCUCAAGAAAGACAAGGCUUUGCCCUUUCCAUCCCCGUGGCCCUCACACGUUUACGCACUUAGCAAGCAUGAAGGCAACGAAUGGUGGCUUGGUGGGUGAAUGAUGUCACGGAAUCGCCACUGGGACACACAGAUCCUACUUCCCUGUGGUCUUCUGUUCCCACACUGAGCCUUGCGGCUGAGAUGGCUCAACAAUCCUUCCUCCCUUUCGUUUCAGAAACUGGACCAUCCCAGGAAGGGCAGACACCAGCUGACGUUGGCUUGCGCGAUGCCAGAGUCAUCGUGAGCAAGCUGGACGAGGGUACCAGUUGGAAAACAGAUGCCUCGAGCCGACAUGCUCACUUUACCUGGCUCCUUGUUGCCACAAGAUGGCAGCCCUAAUUCUUUUUUAGAUUUUCUUAAGGAGGCUUUUUCAUAUUACUGGGGAACGGAACGCAGGAGUGGCCUCAUACCUGGCGGCCUUUUCCUCCUACGAGUUGCAGGUAUUGUUUGUGUCCUGGGUGCUUUGGUGCUCAGUCUCGUCAGUCCCAUCUAGCGUGAGCCCUCAGAGUCUCAGCUGUGAGGCUCUGUGGCUGCGCUAACGUGUUUCAUUGUUUUCCAGAGAACACGCCCCUCUUUCUAAAUGUGACCGUGGCUUUGGAACUUCCAAAAUCCAUAGAGAGAAUUGAAAGAACACGUAAGCGCGUGUAUGUUAGGAUCCUACCGCCUCCCUCAGACCUCGUCAUCCGAAACACGAACAUCUGAAGGAUGUUAGCUUUCCCACCGGUUCUUCCCGUUUCUGUCCUUCUGCCGCGUUUCCCGGGUUAUUCAAGGGAAAACCCCACAGGAUUUAGAGCCCUGAGAUCCAGGGUUAGAUUCUGGAAGUCCUUCACAAAUGCUGUCACCUCCCUGAGCUCCAGUGUCCUCUUGGUUUCAAGGAUAAUGAUGCUAUUCUACCUCCAAGGUAAGCAGAAUAAUGGCCUUUCAAAGGUGUCCACAUCCUAAUCUCCAAGACCCGUGAGAAUAUUAUGUUACUUCAUCAAGAAGAAGGAAAGUUGCAGAUGGAAUGAAUGGUCGACCUUAAAAUGGGGAGAUUAUCCUGGAUUUUCUAGAUGGGCUGAAUCACAAGAGUCCUUCACAGAGGAAGUCGGAGGACGUUACUACAAAAGGAAGCACAGAGAGAUGCAAUGCAGCUGGUUGUGAAGCUGGAAAAGGGGGCAUAAGUGGGCAUGAGGAAAGGAAUGUGACAGUCUCUGGAUGAUGGAAAAUGCAAGGAAAUGGACUGAUUCUCCCCCAGAGCCUCCAGAAAGGAACACAGCUCUGCCAACACCUUGAUGUUAGCCCAGGGAGACCUGGGUUGAACUUCUAGCCCACUGAGCCCUAAGAUAAUAAAGUUGUGUUGUUUUAAGCCACUA